UACGGAGGGUGCAAGCGUUGCUCGGAAUUACUGGGCGUAAAGCGUACGCAGGCGGCUUGGCCAGUCGGGUGUGAAAGCCCCAGGCUCAACCUGGGAACUGCAUCCGAAACUAUCAAGCUUGAGUUCGAGAGAGGGAAGUGGAAUUCCUGGUGUAGAGGUGAAAUUCGUUGAUAUCAGGAGGAACACCGGCGGCGAAGGCGGCUUCCUGGCUCGAUACUGACGCUCAUGUACGAAAGCGUGGGGAGCAAACAGG
rnacentral:rRNA from 1 species